GACGAACCGUCCUAACGUUGUUCGGAAUCACUGGGCUUAAAGGGCGCGUAGGCGGGCUGCCAAGUCCGGGGUGAAAUCUUUCGGCUCAACCGGAAAAUAGCCUUGGAUACUGGCGGUCUCGAGGGAGGCAGGGGCCGUUGGAACUUCCGGUGGAGCGGUGAAAUGCGUUGAUAUCGGAAGGAACGCCGGUGGCGAAAGCGAACGGCUGGACCUCUUCUGACGCUGAGGCGCGAAAGCCAGGGGAGCAAACGGG
rnacentral:rRNA from 1 species